AACACAUGCCUGUCGUUCGGUAGAGAGAAGCUUGCUUCUCUUGCAGAGCGGCGGACGGGUGAGUAAUGCCUAGGAAUCUCGCCUGGUGAGUGGGGGAUAACGUUCGGAAACGGACGCUAAUAUCGCAUACGUCCUACGGGAGAAAGCANNGGACCUUCGGGCCUUGCGCUAUCAGAUGAGCCUAGGUCGGAUUAGCUAGUUGGUGAGGUAAUGGCUCACCAAGGCUACGAUCCGUAACUGGUCUGAGAGGAUGAUCAGUCACACUGGAACUGAGACACGGUCCAGACUCAUACGGGAGGCAGCAGUGGGGAAUAUUGGACAAUGGGCGAAAGCCUGAUCCAGCCAUGCCGCGUGUGUGAAGAAGGUCUUCGGAUUGUAAAGCACUUUAAGUUGGGAGGAAGGGCAUUAACCUAAUACGUUAGUGUUUUGACGUUACCGACAGAAUAAGCACCGGCUAACUCUGUGCCAGCAGCCGCGGUAAUACAGAGGGUGCAAGCGUUAAUCGGAAUUACUGGGCGUAAAGCGCGCGUAGGUGGUUUGUUAAGUUGGAUGUGAAAUCCCCGGGCUCAACCUGGGAACUGCAUUCAAAACUGACUGACUAGAGUAUGGUAGAGGGUGGUGGAAUUCCCUGUGUAGCGGGUGAAAUGCGUAGAUAUAGGAAGGAACACCAG
rnacentral:rRNA from 1 species